UACAGAGGGGGCAAGCGUUGUUCGGAAUUACUGGGCGUAAAGGGCGCGUAGGCGGCCUGUUAAGUCGAACGUGAAAUCCCCGGGCUCAACCCGGGAACUGCGUCCGAUACUGGCAGGCUUGAAUUCGGGAGAGGGAUGCGGAAUUCCAGGUGUAGCGGUGAAAUGCGUAGAUAUCUGGAGGAACACCGGUGGCGAAGGCGGCAUCCUGGACCGAGGUUGACGCUGAGGCGCGAAAGCCAGGGGAGCAAACAGG
rnacentral:rRNA from 1 species